UUUAGCGACAUGACACUUUGAUUGAUAAACAAGUAACUACAAGUUUCCCCCAAACAUUUCUCGCAGUGGUUGCGCCUGAUUCGCACCAGUUGCUCUGGCGGUUUUUGGAAAGACAUUUAAAACUGCAACAAUUAAAUAGCACUUCAAUACAGGAUACGCUAUGGAAUGUAUCGUGCCCGUCUGAACAUUCUCUGAAGAAUGUUCUGAUUCAGCGGUUCUAGUAAAUGUCGAUUUUAACAUAUGUAUACAGUACUUGACUUCAAAGUAUUUUACUGCCAACUGUAUAAUGCAACAGGGGUCACCAACAUGGUGCAUGUGGGCACCAUGGAGCCCCUGAGGACCAUAUGAAUAGCCCGUGCGCGGGGGUGCUUUAAUAAUACUGUGUAGGUCAUAGUGAUGGGACAGUGUGUGGCGGGGUUUUUUUGGUUUUUUUUUUUUGGGGGGGGGUGCAUGUGAUCAUUUGAAAAUGGCAUUUACAGAACCAAAAGUGUUGUAUAUUGAUAUUCCAUAUCCAUUCAUCUGUCCAUUUUCUAAUCUGUUUAGGGUUGCGGGUGUGCUGGAGCCUAUACCAGCUGUCUUUGGGGACUAGACAGGGUCCACCCUGAACUGUUUGACAGCAAUGCGUUGUUGACAAAUCAUUAUUGCGUGUCAUGUUUCUGCAUCCUGUCACAUGAAUGAUUUCCUGUAAACAGUACAGUUUGGGGUGUACCUUUUGGGCAGAUGAUGCACAUCAGACGUCUGCUUCACCCAGUAAAAUGUGAGCUGUUCAAACAGGAUUUUGCACAACAAUGCUAAUUCUAGAUCAGCCACUGAGGAGCUUUGAAUAUGACUCAAUGGUCCAAAACAGGAUAUUUUGACUGACACUGGGGAACUAACUUUUGUAGGGCAGAGUGGCUGCUGAGAAGAAAAUGUUUUCUGUGUGAAUACUUUUGCAGGACGUACAUUGUUUGUACCUUUUGUUUAUUAACAAGCUAAUUGGAGGGAAAAUGGGGGCUAAUGUCAGCUUCACGAGACUCUUAUCAGACUACUGCGAGUAUUAUCAUAAAGAGGUAUUUGACCACCUGCCUAGCAUGCAGGUUUUCCGGCCUGAGCAGAGCAGACAGGAUGUUUCAGAUGUUGUAUGAAAGUCAUUUGCAUAAUUAAACUAACAAUUCAAUUGACAAAUUCAUCUUUGUUUUUAAUUUUGUUUGGAAGUUUUAAGAAACCUUUGAAGAGUGAUUCAAAUGUUUAAAUCCCUUUAUUAUGUUUAAUUGUACCGGUUUUUAUACAAUACUUAAAAAAAAUAAAAAAAUUAAAAUGCAAUUUCAAGGUGAAAUGUUGAUUUGAUCCAUUCAUUCUCUAUACCGCUUUUCCUCACAAGGAUUGCAAGCAUGUCUCCCAAAGACAGCCGGGAUAGCUGGAGCCUAUCCCGGCUGUCCUUGGGUGAGGCAGCGUACACCCCGAACUGGUCCAAUCGCAGGGCACAAAUACACAGUCGACCAUUCACACUCGCAUUCACAGCUACGGACAAUUUGGAUUCUUCAAUUAUGGAGUAAAUCGAGUGCAAUGAAUUAAACUCAAGUUGACGUACCACCAUAAAAAUGAAAUCGAUGGUGUGAAGAGUACUUCCAUGAAAUUUGAGGUUUAAAUAUGCCCGCGACACUGACACACAUUGUUUAUCUUCUCAUCUAUACUUGCAGGAGCAGCGUUUCUCCCAGUAUGAGGCAAGGAGGACAGUGUGGCAGCGGGUGCGUCUCUACCUGCUGCGGCUCAUCCUCCUUCUGCUCGUACUGUCUCUCCUGGGUGGAGUGUUCUACCUCAUCUACUUUGCAAUCAAAACAUCACAGUCUAUGGCAAAGGUAGUUGGAGUUGAUGUAAUAUGGCGGAUUUGACUUCUUGGUGAAAAGUCUUCCCUUUGUGACACCAUCUGAUCUCCCUGCGUUCUCCAGAACAAUCAUUACUGGUUAUUCGGUUUCCUCCUCCAGUACUUCCCGCCGAUCACCAUCACCUCUGUCAACCUUUUGCUCCCUCACACCUUCUGAAAGAUGUCAUUUUUUGAGGACUAUUCCUUCACCCUGCAGGUUAAUAUCAUGUUGGUGAGGUAAAAAGCAGAGCAUAUUAUACACAGUAUAAGGGAAGGCUUUUUUUUUUGUAUGCACACGGCAGCUGAACUCGGAUUGUCUUCCUUCAGGAGCAUCUUUUUGAAGCUUGCCUCGCUGGGGAUAUACUUAUUUUUUGUGUAUACAACAACACAUGAGCAUGUAAGACAUGUUUUACUUUCAUGACAAUUUUCAAAGCAGCACUUUUAAAGCUCAUUCAUGCAACAUGGCAACUGAUGGCUGUCUCCAACCACCAUGACACUGAAACACUCGAUAAAGAUUGACAAAAGUA